rnacentral:rRNA from 1 species
GAGUUUGAUCGUGGCUCAGAACGAACGCUGGCGGCAUGCCUAACACAUGCAAGUCGAACGAACUCUUCGGAGUUAGUGGCGCACGGGUGCGUAACGCGUGGGAAUCUGCCCUUGGGUACGGAAUAACUCAGAGAAAUUUGUGCUAAUACCGUAUAAUGACUUCGGUCCAAAGAUUUGUCGCCCAAAGGAUGAGCCCGCGUAAGAUUAGCUAGUUGGUGGGUAAAGGCCGUACCAAGGCUACGAUCUUUAGCUGGUCUGAGAGGAUGAUCAGCCACACUGGGACUGAGACACGGCCCAGACUCCUACGGGAGGCAGCAGUGGGGGAAUAUUGGACAAUGGGCGAAAGCCUGAUCCAGCAAUGCCGCGUGAGUGAUGAAGGCCUUAGGGUUGUAAAGCUCUUUUACCCGGGUAUGAUAACGACAGUACCGGGAGGAAUAAAGCUCCGGCUAACUCCGUGCCAGCCGCCGCCGUAACACCUGG